UAGUGAGGGUGUUCCCAUGAGAUCUGAUGU
rnacentral:piRNA from 1 species